UUUAUUGUUAUGGUGACGUCACGCCGCGCUCUCCGUGUUGUUUUCAUUCUCUCACAGAUUUAUUUGGGUCUGCAAAUAGUCACUGCAUUUAUAUAGUGUUUACAAUAUAUAUACAUCAUAUAUUUACACACACAUAUACAUAUAUGUAUAUAGAUAAAUACACACAUACAUAUAUGUAUGUUAAGUAUAUAUAUGUUCUGUUUAUAUGUUAUUAUAGCUGCAUAUACACACAUCUUAUGUGUGAUAUCAAAUUCCAUUUGCAUUGAUGCGGAGGUAAUCCACGACUGACUGAAUGAACAGUAAUCUAAUGAUGCUGUGUGAUCUAGUGUCAGCUUGUUGAAAACUACUUGCAUGAAGUCAGCUGACAGGCUUGCUGCCUCACCGAGUUUUAUUUAUUAUUCUUUGAAAAAAUAACUGUUAAAAUCGAACUGCACUUUUUAAA